rnacentral:rRNA from 1 species
AUACCAAGCUAUACUUGUGUUAUGUGCAAUGCAGGCAUAUUGGAAACCAGGGACCAUCUUUUUCUCCACUGCCCAUUUGCUCAACUCUGUUGGGCAUAUAUCUGUCCAACUUGGACUCCAAAUUUUAUGGGCAUACAGGAAGAAGUUAAGGUCCUCAAAUAACUGCUGCAGGUACCUUUUUCCAUGAAAAUAAUCAUUCUGGUGACUUGGGCAAUCUGGACCACGAGGAAUGAUUUCAUUUCAAAGGCACACAACCAAACCACUACAACUGCAGAAGAAAAUUCAAGGAUGAGAUCAAAUGGAUCAUUUACCUGUAUAGUUUUUUGCUGCUCUAGGUUUCCCUGUUUUUCCUUUUUCUAUAGUGUAUGUUUUCCUUUGGGCCUAUGGGACCUUAUUAUUGUUUUGUACCUGUUUUCAAAAAUCAAUAAAAAUAUGCAGAAGAGUCCUAUUGUUUCCCUCAAAAAGAAAAACAUGAUGACAUGUCAUUUGCAAUCUUGGAGGCCAUCUGUGACUCCGAAGGGCAGGAGGUGGUGA